rnacentral:lncRNA from 1 species
AAUUUGUUCUAGAUGCAGUCAUCUCCAUUUCCAAUCGAGGGUCCAAGAUCGUCCUGCUGGAUGGUCACAAAUUCACCAAGCACAUAACUCGAGGACCGAAAGUGAGAUGGCGUUGCAGUCGACAUUAUUCCGACAACUGCCCAGCGAGCGUUUAUACGUUUUUAGAUCAAAUCUAUAAGCGUAAUAAUGAACAUACGCAUUACUUAUAAUAAUUUUGAUUUUACAAAAGUCAUCAUCCUGCCCUUAUCCCAUUUUUUUUUAUUUGGUGUCGGCGCAGCAUGUUUUCUUCUCCCAUACUCUUCUGUCUGCCGUCAUCUCACAAGUAACAUUCUUUUCUUUCUUGCCAUGACGACUUUCUCACAAUCCAUCUAUCGUUUCUUUGGGUGUCCCCUUCCUCUAUAUCCAUUCACAUCACCUUCCUCACAACAUGGUCAUCAUUCCUUCGCAUCACAAGCCCAUACCAUGAUAGUAUAUAAGUAGAGGUACAUAAUUCUACAAAGUAUUUAAGGCAACUUUACAUUGGCAACUAUUGUAUUAAGUAUUAGGUAUAUUACACAGUACAGUACAUAUAAUUUUUCACAUUUAAUUCAGAAGUAUAUCUAGUAUUACCAGUAAAACAAUUGUAUUGUACACAGUGUGAGUGCAUUUUUAUGUCUCAUACUCGUAUUUUAAUUACAAUAUAUUUAGUUUAUUUAGUAUUAAAAAUGUUUAAAUUAGGUUAUGUAGGUUUAAGCUUAGAAUACAUAGGUAUUUACAUAAUAUUUUUGUAAUGUUUGUAAUGGCACCAUGGUUUAUAUUACUUGUAUUAUGUGUAUAUCUAUUAUACUAAAUAUAUUGGUCAAUAAGAAUGAUUUGUUUUUUUUUUCAGGUACUUCUACGUGGCGACCUUUUAUAUUAAUUUGACUUCGCCUUUUAUUAAUUAAUAAGUAGCCGGUUGGAACUACUCCUUGCACCGGAAUAAAAUAUAACUUGUGUUUCCAACAGUGAAUUUUUUUUUUCAAAUCGGUUCAGAUGUGUCGGAGCCAUUAGGGUACAAAGAAAUAAAAAGUUUCUUCUAUUUUAUAUUAGUAUGCCUAGACAAGAAAGCAGUAAUAUUAAAUAAUAAAAUACUUAAAACUGCUUUCAUUUCAAACAUUUCAUUUUCUUUAAAAAAACAAAAACUGUUACAAUUCCAAAUUCAAACAGGUAUUGUCAUUUUCUAGAUUGCCAGUUUAUAACAACGGCGCGAGGAGCUCGGAUGAUCAUCGUCGAUGGGUUUCGCUUCCUUCGCCAUAGAACUACAGGUCUAAAAGUCAGAUGGUACUGUGGGACCCAUGGGAAUAAGGGCUGUCGAGCCUUCAUGUACACCAUAAGUGGAACCAAUGAGGUUAUAAGCUGUUUCAACGAGCACUCCCAUCCAACGCCAGUUAGUUUACCGCCACAGCUCAAUUUGCAAAUCUCAGAUCUGAGAAAUAAAUCUUAAAUGUUCAACGUUAAGGUUUAAAUUGCAGAAAUUUCAAGGGAGUUUUUGUAAGGACAGUUAAUAGAUAGAAUUUAAACCGAUUUGGUCGGAUUGGUGAACUCAAUAAAUAAGCAUAAAAAGUGGGAACUACUGCCCGUGCCGGGAAAUAUACCUAUUAUUCGAGAAGACUAGCUUUCCAACAGUGAAAUAUUUUUUCAAAUUGUUCAGUAAUUCAAUAUUGUCAGUGUUCAAUAUUAUAUUAGCAAAGAUUAUAAUAGUGUCAUCAUGCAUAAGAUAUGCAUGAUAUUUCUCUAUACUCCAUCCACGGAAGCAAGAGCUAAAAGGUAAACAAAGAAUGACACUUUUUCAAGAUGGCGGUAUAACCCGACCAAUGACAAAACGUCACAUUUUUGUGUAAAAUGUUCGCAGUAUCUGUGAUUUUGUCAUCGGUCGGGUUAUACCGCCAUCUUGAAAAACUGUCAUUCUUUGUUUACCUUUUAGCUCUUGCUUCCGUGGAUAGAGUAUAGAUUGUAUUUUUUAGUAAUAAAUAGUUUUUUUUUUCUUUUUUGGGAGCGAUCAUCAUCUGUUAACAUUAAUUUCACCGUGUUGCACUUAUUAGCAUUUAACAAACUUUGUAAUUUUAACUUUGAUACAAGAAAUAAAUACUGAAUUAUUAUUUUACCCAAAUAUAUUUUUCUUCAUUUAAAAUCGUAUCCAAAAAUCCAAUUAUAAAAAAGAGGAGAACGAUAUAACGUCCCCAAAAUCCAUAUUCAUACCUGUUGAAUGUCGGAGCGCAGAAAGGCGCGAGUCACAAUUGAUAUUCUAUUGUUUUAUAGUCAACAACAUACCAGAGGUUAGAAAUAACUGUUUUUUUUUUUGUAUAGAUGCAGUUUUCUACACUACUUCAAGAGGAGCCAGGAUCAUCAUGCUGUCAGGGUACAAGUUCUACCGUCAUCGCUGCAGGGGCUUGAAGACCAGGUGGUUUUGUUCCAGCGACCGUGCCAUCUUCACAAAAUCAUCGAAAGGGGCUGAUGUCAUUCUUUUAAGUGGCUACAAGUUUCUGAAGCAUCGCGUCAUUGGGCCAAGGAUCCGUUGGUUUUGUGGCACCCAUAGGAAGAAAGGGUGUGGUGCCGUGGUGUACACCCAUCUUGGAGAUAUCCUCAAAAUUAAUAACGAACACGACCACGCACCACCAUUUUUAAAUCUUAAAAUGUAUGGUUUUUAAAAUUGUGCAAUUCCAUUUUUUUAUUCAAAAGAUUUCAACUUCAAUCUUACGCAGAGGUUGCGCACCUAAUCUUCUAUUUAUUUUUGAUUUCAAGGAAAAUUACUAGCUACUAUAUACGGCUAGAAUUAAAAUGUGCAUUCCUCCUGUUUUUCAGUAGGCUUAGUUUACUUACUAAGAACUUUAUCUAGUCAUAAAUUAUGUUACCCUAUUUAUGUUAUAUUAUUUGAAUAAUUAAAUGUCCGCACUUCUACAAGUUACCAAAUAUUAAGAUAUAUGAUAUGUAAUCAUUAAAAAGAAGAGUAAACGGAUUUGUGCUAUCCUUGUGCUUACCUUGUG